CGAACGCUGGCGGCGUGCUUACACAUGCAAGUCGGAUGCGAACGGGCUUUUCGGAGCGCAAGUAGCAUGGCAGACGGGUGAGGAGCACGUACCUGACCUGGCUCUUAAUGGGGGAUAGUCCUUCGAAAGAGGGUUGAAUACCGCAUACGCUCAGGAGGGCGACCUUGUGAGGAAAGCUGGCCUCUGCGAGAGCAAGCUGGUGUUAAGAGGGGGGGGUGCGGCCUAUUAGCUAGUUGGUAGGGUAAGGGCCUACCAAGGCGACGAUGGGUAGCUGGUCUGAGAGGAUGAUCAGCCACACUGGGACUGAGAGACGGCCCAGACUCCUACGGGAGGCAGCAGUGGGGAAUUUUGCGCAAUGGGGGCAACCCUGACGCAGCAACGCCGUGUGAGUGAGGACGCCUUUCGGGGUGUAAAGCUCUGUCAGCAGGGACGAACGUGUCGCGUAGAAGAUACGGGGGCAUUGACGGUACCUGGUGAGGAAGCCCCGGCUAACUCCGUGCCAGCAGCCGCGGUAAGACGGAGGGGGCAAGCGUUGUUCGGAAUUACUGGGCGUAAAGCGCGCGUAGGCGGCGAGACAAGUGCCGAGUGAAAGCCCUCGGCUUAACCGAGGAAGGGCUUGGCAGACUGUUUGGCUAGAGUUUCGGAGGGGGAGGCGGAAUUCCUGGUGGAGCGGUGAAAUGCGUAGAGAUCAGGAAGAACGUCAGUGGCGAGGGCGGCCUCCUGGACGAGAACUGACGCUGAGGUGCGAGAGCGUGGGGAGCGAACGGGAUUAGAUACCCCGGUAGUCCACGCCGUAAACGCUUGGGCACUAGGUGUGGGGCCGAGGACCGGGUCCGUGCCGGAGCUAACGCAGUAA
rnacentral:rRNA from 1 species